rnacentral:rRNA from 1 species
AGCGAACGCUGGCGGCAGGCUUAACACAUGCAAGUCGAACGCCCCGCAAGGGCAGUGGCAGACGGGUGAGUAACACGUGGGAACGUACCCUUUGGUUCGGAAUAACUUGGGGAAACUCAAGCUAAUACCGGAUAAGCCCUUAUGGGGAAAGGUUUACUGCCGAAGGAUCGGCCCGCGUCUGAUUAGCUAGUUGGUGAGGUAAUGGCUCACCAAGGCGACGAUCAGUAGCUGGUCUGAGAGGAUGAUCAGCCACACUGGGACUGAGGCACGGCCCAGACUCCUACGGGAGGCAGCAGUGGGGAAUAUUGGACAAUGGGGGCAACCCUGAUCCAGCCAUGCCGCGUGAGUGAUGAAGGCCUUAGGGUUGUAAAGCUCUUUUACCCGGGACGAUAAUGACUGUACCGGGAGAAUAAGCCCCGGCUAACUUCGUGCCAGCCGCCGCGGUAA